CUCUCCAAAGCUUGCUCUCCCCCCCAAACAAAGCCUUUACCCGCAGAAGCUGAGGACAAACACACCCCAGCGGGCCAGGUGGCUCCUCUCUGACUUAAUGAAGAGGAGCAAGAGGAAGGAAAAGGAGCUGGGAAACUGAAGGAUGCUGCAGAGCUGCCCUACUGGGUCACUCAAAAGUAUCUGGUCCUUUACCUGGCAGUCAUGGAGAAUGGCCAGUGUUCUUAGACCUCUGCUCUGCAGCGCGACUAGCUCCCUAUCAAAAAGCUUGGAUAGUCCCGUGAUAAGAGCCUAAGGCGCUACAAGCUUCAAUCCUUUGCAUCUCCAUGAAGGGGCUGGGAAAGACUACAGUUGAAGCCCAAAACAUCUGGAUGACACCACUUUGUGAAAGGCUGGGGCAAGAUCUGGGCCAAGAAGCGCAACCAUUUCCCCAAAACGGAGCAUGCCGGCCACUUAGCAUAAAAGCUGCUACUGACUGCUGGGUGUUUAUACUGAAUCACAGAGAAAAUAGAAUGUCCUUCAACAGCCCUCUGGUGGAAGAAGAGUGAAAUGGAGUGGGUAGAGAUUUUUCUGCCUUUUCAAAAAGCACUAAAACUAAGGAUCUGCCCCAGUGAGAUCGGCAGUACAGUGGUACCUCGAUUUAUGAACACAAUUGGUUCCGGUAGUCUGUUCAUAAACCGGAGCGUUCAUAAACUGAAGUGAUCUUUCCCAUUGAAAGUAAUGGAAAGUGGAUUAAUCCGUUCCAGACGGGUCCGCGGAGUACUUAAACUGAAGCGUUCAUAAACUGAAGCGAACUUUCCCAUUGAAAGUAAUGGAAAGUGAAUUAAUCCGUUCCAGAUGGGUCCGCGGAGUACUUAAACUGAAGCGUUCAUAAACUGAAGCGAACUUUCCCAUUGAAAGUAAUGGAAAGUGGAUUAAUCCGUUCCAGACGGGUCCGUGGAGUACUUAAACUGAAGCGUUCAUAAACUGAAGCGAACUUUCCCAUUGAAAGUAAUGGAAAGUGGAUUAAUCCGUUCCAGACGGGUCCGCGGAGUACUUAAACUGAAGCGUUCAUAAACUGAAGCGAACUUUCCCAUUGAAAGUAAUGGAAAGUGAAUUAAUCCGUUCCAGAUGGGUCUGCGGCGUUCGUAAACGGAAAAUUCGUAAACCGAGGUGUUCAUAAACCGAGGUUCCACUGUAGAUUCAGAGAAGAAAGGACUCAUUCACACAAAAAACGCUGGUGGGUUUUCAUGAGGAAUUCCUCCCCUCUACUUCAAAAUCACAAACUGAGGUGGAAAUGUGGAGCACUGAAAAUGAAAGAAUGAGAAACUGAGAAAAACUGAAAUGGAUAGAUUUCUAAAGCUUUCCCAAUCACCAGGUAAUUCUACUCACCUUGGCUUCUCUUGGCUUUUCUCCAGCUGGACAUACUUCACUUCACUUCUAAUUUCUGACUUGUAAUGAAUCCACAUCACCAGAGACAGAUUGAAGGGACUGUUAGAUUUUGCCUUCUCAUA